rnacentral:rRNA from 1 species
GACGAACGCUGGCGGCGUGCCUAACACAUGCAAGUCGAGCGAGUGAAUCUCCUUCGGGAGUGAAGCUAGCGGCGGACGGGUGAGUAACACGUGGGCAACCUGCCUCAUAGAGGGGAAUAGCCUUCCGAAAGGAAGAUUAAUACCGCAUAAGAUUGUAGCUUCGCAUGAAGUAGCAAUUAAAGGAGCAAUCCGCUAUGAGAUGGGCCCGCGGCGCAUUAGCUAGUUGGUGAGGUAACGGCUCACCAAGGCGACGAUGCGUAGCCGACCUCGAGAGGGUGAUCGGCCACAUUGGGACUGAGACACGGUCCAGACUCCUACGGGAGGCAGCAGUAGGGAAUAUUGGACAAUGGGGGCAACCCUGAUCCAGCCAUGCCGCGUGAGUGAAGAAGGCCCUCGGGUUGUAAAGCUCUUUUGUCCGGAAAGAAAAGCAAUCGGUUAAUACCCGGUUGUUCUGACGGUACCGGAAGAAUAAGCACCGG